CCAACGGGUGGCUGCAGUCGAGGAUCAUUCGCAAUGGGGGAAACCCUGACGAUGCGACGCUGCGUGGAGGAUGACGGCCCUCGGGUUGUAAACUCCUGUCAUGAGGGAAGAGGGGAGCGGCGCUAACAGCGCCGCGACUUGACGGUACCUCAAGAGGAAGCCACGGCUAACUCUGUGCCAGCAGCCGCGGUAAUACAGAGGUGGCGAGCGCUGUUCGGAUUUACUGGGCGUAACGGGCGCGUAGGCGGCGGGGUGUGUCGGGGGUGAAAUCCCAGGGCCCAACCCUGGAAGUGCGCCCGAAACUGCUCCGCUGGAGUGCGGGAGGGGAGAUCGGAAUACAUGGUGUAGCGGUGAAAUGCGUUGAUAUCAUGUGGAACACCGGUGGCGAAGGCGGAUCUCUGGAACGCAACUGACGCUGAGGCGCGAAAGCCGGGGGAGCAAACA
rnacentral:rRNA from 1 species